rnacentral:rRNA from 1 species
AUGAAGCUAAAGACUGCUUAUGGAUGCAACACUUUGCAAGAUGGAACCUUCAAGAUGUGGUCGCUCCGAGGCAUACUACCAAAGUAUGGGGAUAGGGACUACCAUGUGCAGGCGAACAAGGAUGAAGGGGUAUACUCAUGCACUUGCUGCAAGUUUGAUCGCGAUGGGCUAUUGUGCACACACAUACUACGAGUAAUGGAACAGAUUGGAGUCUACGAGAUACCGAGGAAGUAUAUCCUGGAUAGGUGGACAUGGGAUCCAGAAAAGGAUCUUGUUCGGCCUGAUUACCAACAGCCAACAGUUAAGAAGGGUAUGACAGAAGAAGGAAAAAAUAUCAUGAGAUAUACAUCUAUUCUGAAUGAUUUCAAGGAAGAAGCAAAAGACGCUUGCACUACUGAUGAAGGGAUGGCGUUGGUAUGGAAACAUGUUAGUGCUUUCAGAGACGACAUGGAUGCACUAAAAAAGAGGCAGCUAAAGAAAGCAAGAAAGGAAAAAGAUGAGGGAAAAGAAGCACAAAUGUUUUCUUCACCACCAGGGACUAGUGCCACUGAAGGUGUCCCAGUAGCGCAUCAAGGAAGCAUUCCUGUCACGCAUGUGUCUGGCAAUAUUUUCCAGUUCCAGGGCUCACAUGCCGAGGGAUCGCAAUCAUCAAACACAAGAGUGAUACUAGACCCACCAAAGUCUACUACGAAAGGGCGUCCGAGAGAGAAAAGAUUCCAGCACCCAUUUGACAUUGUAAAGCCAAAAAAGGAGAGGAAGUGUAGAGUCUGCGGGUCGAUAGAUCAUGAUAAACGCAAAUGUACCUCACCCAUCCCGCACUGA